rnacentral:rRNA from 1 species
AUGAACGCUGGCGGCGUGCCUAAUACAUGCAAGUCGAGCGAACAGACGAGGAGCUUGCUCCUCUGACGUUAGCGGCGGACGGGUGAGUAACACGUGGAUAACCUACCUAUAAGACUGGGAUAACUUCGGGAAACCGGAGCUAAUACCGGAUAAUAUAUAGAACCGCAUGGUUCAAUAGUGAAAGACGGUUUUGCUGUCACUUAUAGAUGGAUCCGCGCCGCAUUAGCUAGUUGGUAAGGUAACGGCUUACCAAGGCAACGAUGCGUAGCCGACCUGAGAGGGUGAUCGGCCACACUGGAACUGAGACACGGUCCAGACUCCUACGGGAGGCAGCAGUAGGGAAUCUUCCGCAAUGGGCGAAAGCCUGACGGAGCAACGCCGCGUGAGUGAUGAAGGUCUUCGGAUCGUAAAACUCUGUUAUUAGGGAAGAACAAAUGUGUAAGUAACUAUGCACGUCUUGACGGUACCUAAUCAGAAAGCCACGGCUAACUACGUG